GACGGACCGUCCAAACGUUAUUCGGUAUCACUGGGCUUAAAGGGUGCGUAGGCGGUCCCGUAAGUCGGGUGUGAAAUCCCUCGGCUCAACCGAGGAAGUGCGCCCGAAACUGCGGGGCUAGAGGGAGGUAGAGGCGAGUGGAACUUGCGGUUGAGCGGUGAAAUGCGUUGAUAUCGCACGGAACACCGGUGGCGAAGGCAGGUCGCUGGGCCUUCCCUGACGCUGAUCCACCACUCCUAGUGGAGCGAACGAG
rnacentral:rRNA from 1 species